CAGUCGCCGCGGGAAUACGUAGGGUGCGAGCGUUAAUCGGAAUUACUGGGCGUAAAGCGUGCGCAGGCGGUUUUGUAAGACAGAGGUGAAAUCCCCGGGCUCAACCUGGGAACUGCCUUUGUGACUGCAAGGCUAAAGUACGGCAGAGGGGGAUGGAAUUCCGCGUGUAGCAGUGAAAUGCGUAGAUAUGCGGAGGAACACCGAUGGCGAAGGCAAUCCCCUGGGCCUGUACUGACGCUCAUGCACGAAAGCGUGGGGAGCAAACAGGAUUAGAUACCCCCGUAGUCCCUGUCUCUUAUAC
rnacentral:rRNA from 1 species